rnacentral:rRNA from 1 species
GAUGAACGCUGGCGGCGUGCUUAACACAUGCAAGUCGAACGGAAAGGCUCCUGCUUGCAGGGGUACUCGAGUGGCGAACGGGUGAGUAACACGUGGGUGAUCUGCCCUGCACUUCAGGAUAAGCCUGGGAAACUGGGUCUAAUACCGGAUAGGACCACAUUUUGGAUGGUGUGGUGGAAAGUUUUUCGGUGUGGGAUGAGCUCGCGGCCUAUCAGCUUGUUGGUGGGGUAAUGGCCUACCAAGGCGUCGACGGGUAGCCGGCCUGAGAGGGUGUACGGCCACAUUGGGACUGAGAUACGGCCCAGACUCCUACGGGAGGCAGCAGUGGGGAAUAUUGCACAAUGGGCGCAAGCCUGAUGCAGCGACGCCGCGUGGGGGAUGACGGCCUUCGGGUUGUAAACUCCUUUCGCUAGGGACGAAGCGUUUUUGUGACGGUACCUGGAGAAGAAGCACCGGCUAACUACGUG